rnacentral:lncRNA from 1 species
GUGCACCUUCGGUGCACGACGGAGAAUGGAAAUCGGUUGCGUCGGAGUGAGCGAGAUGAUACGAUCAGGAACGUAGCAAGGAACGCACCUUUCGUUGAGCUUGUUCGAAAGUCUUUCGCUGAGCGAGAGAUAAUUGGGUAAUGCGCCGGCUUUUUGCGACAUCGCGCGGUAAGUUUCGAUCUCCGCUUCGAUGGAAAUGUCUGUAAACAUAACCUCUACGGAUACACUGAGAAUGACGAUUUUUUGGUCUUGUCAUGAAUGUUGUUCAUGAAUGGUCGUUCGUAAUUGAUGAUCUCGACGUGAUUGAUAGAGGGUAAUAGAAGUGAUAUAAGGUCUGCGGGCCGAUGUCCGGAAUCCUUUAAUCCAGCGUAAACUCGUAAAGUACGAAAAUUUGCAAACUUCAAAGCGCAUGGGAAUGAGCAUGUAGCAUUCAGCAUUUUUACUCUAUUAUUGUAACGUGAUAAAAUCUAACGAUUGUAUGACGUACUGCGGGUGUUCUACUUAUGAACGAGCGAAAUAUCGAUGCACGCAUGUGCUGUGUUAAAGUCUAAGCUGUUGUACCAAAGGUGAACGUUUAUUACCUGGAUCCUGAACGGUUGGGUUAAUCUGAGGACAAGGGUUUAAUGCCCUUGGGUUCUUAUGUCUUCCGAGAGGAUUUUAGGCUGACCUGCCAAAUCUUGAUUAAACGUAAUCAAGAUUAAACGUAAUCCGUCAAUGAAAUUGUCAACAACAAUUGCUGGUUACGUCACUUAUUGUCCAACAGUAACCAAGGAAUUAAUCAUCCUAUAUAUAUAUAUCAGUAAAAUAGGUGUAAUACUUGACUGAGCAAUUUCACUGGCUGAGUUAAACGUUGAUUGGCGCAAUUGGAGUGUAUGAUAAAAGCGAAACCUUCAGACAUCAUCGCUUGGACCGUAUCUUUUGCGCGACAAGAUUACGCGGAUGGCGAGUACGGUCCUGUGUCGUUCGAGUUGGGAAGUGCGCGUCGGCGGCGCCCUAUGGGCGCCAUCGUGCCGCGCACGAUGGUCGACAACGGUUCAGCUACGGCAAGCUUCGAGCAGCCGCGAGAUCUCUCCUUUUCCCCUUCUUUUGCGCUUUUCGGAGCCGCGUGCGCGUUCGUGCGACGGAUCGUGAUACUUGGACGCGCCCGGACCCUCCGUCCGAGGCGAGUCGCGGAGCGUCGACGCGACGCGACGCGGCGCGGCGCGGCGUGGCGGCCUCUUGGAAAGGCGCGAAUGUCUAUGCGCGGCGCGUCACCGUGAAAUCUAGAACCCGGCUAGAAUCUGGAAUCUUUCUUCGCUCGAGAGCGCACGGAUAGCGGGAUACACGCGAUCACAUUCACGUGUUUUUCCCUGGUACAUUUCAGCGUUCCUCCCGUAAUUGCGGCAAUUACCGCUAAAUGUCGCUGCGAAUAUCGGCCUGUCCGAGAGCUUUCCGAAUGGAACGAACUUCUAAAAGAAGCCUGAAAGUUUCAGAUGUCUCUUGAACGCCCUUAACAUGUUAUUUAUUACCAGCAUGAGUCACCGGUGCAUGCAUGGGCCCUCAUCGUCAUAAUAUAAGCCAAGUUUGUUUAACAAAUAACAUAUUUCAACAGAAUUGUAAAAGUAUCUUAUACUCAUGUUCAAUUUUAGAGUUAAAAUUUUCAAUCGCCUGACAGCAGGCAGUUCAGUUUUCGUCAGAAUAGAACGUGAACCACGAGUGAUUCCACGAGUGUGGAAUGUGUUAAAGAAUCUUUGAUGAUCUUUUGAAGUCGUACGAAAUGUCUCAGAGGAUAUCUGAUGAAAUUGGCUUCUAUUGUCCGCCUUGACAGAACCUUGACAGACCGCGUGAAAUCGCCUGAAUCUACCUGAGCGGACAUAUUCAUCGAUUCAACUUGAGGUCUUUCAAAUCGCGGCUGGGUGAAGAACCUCUCGUGGUCUUUUGCGAAUUAUAUUUCACUAGAUACAAUCGCUACAUGAUCGUUUUCUUGCAGGGGCGGCGCGGCUGUAGGAGAAAGAGAGAGAGAGAGAGAGAGAGAGAGAGAGAAAGGAAGGAGCGAACUUUUUGGCGGGAAUCGGAAGAAAACGCCGAGUGUGCGCAAUUGAACGCUACAGGGGUGUGCAUCACGCUGCGCUUUCAAGUAGCAACACGCGGCGCAUGCCGUCAGCGCGUCGUGCGACUCGGCACGGCGUGACCUGUUACGACGACGUGAGGGCGGCUCGCUACCUCUUUCUGGCCAGCAACAACCUUUUCACGCUUGAGUCGAAACCGAAUGCGCCGCGUCGGUAUCACGUCCGGCCGCGGUAUCGAUUUCAGACAGUGCGAAAAAUCCUUCUCCUGGCGAGAUGCAGCGCACGACACGGAGUUAAGAGUGCGUUCACUCUGCACAAUUGUAGAAAAAUGGAAGGCAGGCGAGUCGAGAGUCAUCACGAUAGGCGAAUCUUGCUCUGCCGGCGUGCAUUUGAUGCGGGGGAGGAUCCAUCGGAGGGGCACGUCAAAGGCGACACUCGAGGUGGCGGCUGCGGGAAAACAGUGUCAGGUGUCGUCGAUGACGAGUACGGUCCUGAAGUAAGGUCCGUUUCGUCCUUAUACGCACACGCGGGGACGGCAGGCACUGUGGGGGCCUAGUAUAACAAAGAUUCAUCGGGACCGGUUUCGUGUGCCGCCUUUCUUACAUUCCCCGAAGAAGCCCCGUCGAGCCGCGGGUGUGAAAACCGACACCCACCCACUUGUUAUUUUGUCAAACACGAGCCCAGGAAAUUAUAGGAAUCAUACGCUAACUCGCGUCUUCUGGAACGCUCUCGCGGGGAAUUAGUCUCGGCCGCCACGUGUCGUUGCGUGUCCCAUGCGAAAAAUUGCACGGUGUAACGCGUGUAAUUCUAUCAAAAUAAGCAACAGUCUGGCUAAUUAUAUUUUUACACGCAUUAUACAACGCGAAGAGGACAUACAUGCGGAUAAGUAAAUGUGUUGUGUGUGAUGCAGUUGUAUGCGUGUCAUAUUUUAAGCCUCGUAUGUAUACUUGUUUUGUAAAAUAACGUUUCCAAUACGUUCCCUUCGAAACGUACUUUGAAACAGAGCACAUUUUCAAUCGGGGAAUUUAUUUUUGCGUAAUCUCUCAGCGCAAACUUCUAAAAAGAUAUUUAUACGGACUUUAUUCAAAAGAUGUCUUACUGUUUCUUGAACGUUCUUAGAGGUUUCUGUUUUUAGAAGCUUGUACUUUUAAAUAUCUUUUUCUCUUACAAGUUUUUGUUGUCUGGAUACUGUUCACUGAGCGUUAGAUGCAUUUUGCACUAUGAGAGGUGUGUUCAGAUCAUUCUGCAAACGAAUUUUACACUUUAAUGUAUGGUGUAUGACGAUCAUUAUAGUUGAGUUGGCACUUUGUAUCGUCAUAAGAAAAUGUGUGUACUAAUCAAAAUUGAACGAUCGUGUCAGUAACGAGACAGGCCGGUGGCGGUAACGCUUACGAGUAUCGUUGCGGCCGGGAGUUUCGCGUGUGCGUUAUUUUCAGUUGACGCGGGGAACUUGCCCGCGAACAGUAACGAUAAUGCGGCAUAAUACGAUGCAAAGCGCGCGUCGAUCUAAUAAUAAUGUCGCGAAAUGAUAGGGACACACGUAUUAUGACACCUAGCCACUUGUCGUUUCGCUAAAUACGAUCCCAGAAAAUUAUAGGAAUCACGUGUGUGGCGACGCAUCUCCUCUCGCUCUCCGAGAGCCGGCUCGCGCGCUCACGCCAAAUUAUUCUCGAUUGCACGCUCGCGCUACAUUUUAUAACCGUCAAUUAAAAGUGACACCGGACAAUUGCUGUUUGUG